rnacentral:misc_RNA from 1 species
GAAAUCAGCAACAAUGAAGAUGAGCAGUACGCAAGGUCCACACUCUCUGGCCUUUCGGGUAAUGAGACUCUGCCGUCCUUCGCUUCACGUCGAAAUUCCGGUCAGAUUUGAUCCUUCCGAUCUGUUGUUCGGUGAAGAUCUCUUCGAUGAUCCCGUUGCCGCUUCUCAUCUCCCUCGACUCCUCGCUGACACAGUCUCCGACGGAACUACUACCUCUGCGGCUGAUCCAUCGGAUCUCUCUUACCGGAAUAGAUUCCUUCUUCAGCAUCCUUCUGAUUCUCUUGGCCUCCCUGGUCUCCUCCUGCUACCUCAGUCCUUUGGGGCAAUAUAUUUGGGAGAGACGUUCUGCAGUUAUAUAAGCAUAAAUAACAGCUCCAAUUUUGAAGUUAGAGAUGUUACCAUCAAGGCUGAAAUCCAAACAGAGAGGCAGAGGAUACUUCUUUUAGAUACUUCUAAAUCACCUGUUGAGUCAAUACGUGCUGGAGGUAGAUAUGACUUCAUCGUGGAACAUGAUGUGAAAGAACUUGGUGCACACACGUUGGUCUGCACUGCUCUUUAUAAUGACAACGAUGGUGAGCGGAAAUAUCUUCCACAAUAUUUCAAAUUUAUGGUUGCGAAUCCACUUUCUGUUAGAACAAAGGUCCGCGUUGUUAAGGUAGGUUGGUUCAAGCUCUUUGAGUGAAACCACUUUUUUGGAGGCUAGCAUAGAGAAUCAUACAAAAUCUAAUCUCUAUAUGGACCAAGUUGAUUUUGAGCCAGCUCAGAAUUGGAAUGCUACAGUACUAAGAGGUGUUGAUCACCAUCCAGAGAGCAAACAACCAAUGAGUGAUGUAUUUAAGCCUCCUAUUCUCUUAAAAUCUGGGGGCGGGAUCCAUAAUUUCCUCUACCAAUUGAAGUUAUCAUCAGAUGGCUCUCCACUGCCGAAGGUGGAGGGAAGUAAUGUCUUGGGAAAACUUCAGAUAACUUGGCGGACAAAUUUGGGUGAACCCGGACGCCUUCAGACACAACAAAUUCUUGGAAGUUCCAUUGCUCAAAAAGACAUUGAACUAAGAGCGGUGGAAGUGCCAUCGAUUAUCAUGCUGGAGAAACCUUUCAUGGUACGUCUGAAUCUUACAAAUCAGACAGACAGGGUGCUGGGGCCUUUUGAAGUUUGGGUGUCACAAAGUGACUCACUUGAUGAGAAGGCUAUCAUGGUUAAUGGUCUUCUAACAAUGCAUUUGGCACAGGUGGAAGCAUUUAGCUCUUCAGAAUUAGAGUUGAAUCUGAUUGCUGUGAAGCAUGGGGUACAGAAAAUCACAGGCAUUACAGUGUUCGACACACGCGAGAAGAAAACAUAUGAUUCUUUACUGGAAUUGGAGGUAUUUGUCGAUUCACAGUAGGUAUUUGAGCCAGACAUCGUUACAAAGUAAUAGGGACGUUGAUCUGACUGAUGAUCGGAGUUGGUACUUUUACAGCUCAGAACAUCACAGUUAAGAUCUAGAGUACAUCUCCAAAUGCCAAACAACGAGACAGGUACUUGCCUGUUCAAUAGCCUCAAUGGUUCUUGGCAUUCAUCCAGAGGAUCUUUAAACGAUUAACUUGUGUUUUUAUCGAUCGAUCGACAGUGUACACUAAUCAUGCACCUGUUAUUUUCUCAGUGUAGUUUUGUGCCUUUCCUCUACCAAUUGUGCUAAAAU